rnacentral:rRNA from 1 species
AGUGAACGCUGGCGGUAGGCCUAACACAUGCAAGUCGAACGGCAGCACAGUAAUAGCUUGCUCUUACGGUUGGCGAGUGGCGGACGGGUGAGGAAUACAUCGGAAUCUACUUUUUCGUGGGGGAUAACGUAGGGAAACUUACGCUAAUACCGCAUACGACCUACGGGUGAAAGCAGGGGAUCUUCGGACCUUGCGCGAUUGAAUGAGCCGAUGUCGGAUUAGCUAGUUGGCGGGGUAAAGGCCCACCAAGGCGACGAUCCGUAGCUGGUCUGAGAGGAUGAUAGGCCGCACUGGAACGGAGACACGGUCCAGACUCCUACGGGAGGCAGCAGUGGGGAAUAUUGGACAAUGGGCGCGAGCAUGAUCCAGCCAUAGCGCGUGGGUGGAGAAGGCCUUCGGGUUGUAAAGACCUUUUGUUGGGAAAGAAAAGCAGCAGGUUGAUACCAAGCUGUUGUGACGGUACCCAAAGAAUAAGCACCGGCUAACUUCGUG